AAACCAACAGGGAUUGCCUUAGUAACGGCGAGUGAAGCGGCAACAGCUCAAAUUUGAAAUCUGGCUCCUUCGGGGUCCGAGUUGUAAUUUGUAGAGGAUGUUUCGGGCACGGUCCGGGCUUAAAUUUCUUGGAACAGAAUGUCAGAGAGGGUGAGAAUCCCGUCUGGAGUCUGUCGACACGGCCUAUGUGAAACUCCUUCGACGAGUCGAGUUGUUUGGGAAUGCAGCUCUAAAUGGGUGGUAAAUUUCAUCUAAAGCUAAAUAUUGGCCAGAGACCGAUAGCGCACAAGUAGAGUGAUCGAAAGAUGAAAAGCACUUUGAAAAGAGAGUUAAACAGUAUGUGAAAUUGUUGAAAGGGAAGCGCUGGCAACCAGACUUGCGCGUCGCGGUUCCCCCUGGCUUCUGCCUGGGUUACUCCGCGGCGUUCAGGCCAACAUCGGUUUCGGGGGUCGGUUAAAGGCCCGGGGAAUGUACCUACUCUUCGGGGUAGACUUAUAGCCCUGGGUGUCAUGCGACCUCCCGGGACCGAGGAACGCGCUUCGGCUCGGAUGUUGGCGUAAUGGUUGUCAGCGAC
rnacentral:rRNA from 1 species